rnacentral:rRNA from 1 species
UACGAAGGGGGCUAGCGUUGCUCGGAAUCACUGGGCGUAAAGCGCACGUAGGCGGAUCUUUAAGUCAGGGGUGAAAUCCCGAGGCUCAACCUCGGAACUGCCUUUGAUACUGGGGAUCUCGAGUCCGGGAGAGGUGAGUGGAACUGCGAGUGUAGAGGUGAAAUUCGUAGAUAUUCGCAAGAACACCAGUGGCGAAGGCGGCUCACUGGCCCGGAACUGGACGCUGAGGUGCGAAAGCGUGGGGAGCAAACA